rnacentral:rRNA from 1 species
CCUACGGGCGGCUGCAGUGAGGAAUAUUGGACAAUGGGCUUAAGCCUGAACCAGCCAAGUCGCGUGAGGGAAGACUGCCCUAUGGGUUGUAAACCUCUUUUGUCAGGGAGCAACGCCGGCUACGUGUAGCCGGACUGAGAGUACCUGAAGAAAAAGCAUCGGCUAACUCCGUGCCAGCAGCCGCGGUAAUACGGAGGAUGCUAGCGUUAUCCGGAUUUAUUGGGUUUAAGGGGUGCGUAGGCGGAAUGCCAAGUCAGCGGUAAAAUCGCGGGGCUCAACCUCGCUCCGCCGUUGAAACUGGCGUUCUUGAGGUGGGGAGAAGUAAGCGGAAUGCGUGGUGUAGCGGUGAAAUGCAUAGAUAUUACGCAGAACUCCGGUUGCGAAGGCAGCAUACCGGCGCCCAACUGACGCUGAAGCACGAAAGCGUGGGUAUCGAAAAGGAUUAGAUACCCUUGUAGUC